rnacentral:rRNA from 1 species
ACGGGUGAGUAAUGUCUGGGGAUCUGCCCGAUAGAGGGGGAUAACCACUGGAAACGGUGGCUAAUACCGCAUAAUGUCGCAAGACCAAAGAGGGGGACCUUCGGGCCUCUCACUAUCGGAUGAACCCAGAUGGGAUUAGCUAGUAGGCGGGGUAACGGCCCACCUAGGCGACAAUCCCUAGCUGGUCUGAGAGGAUGACCAGCCACACUGGAACUGAGACACGGUCCAGACUCCUACGGGAGGCAGCAGUGGGGAAUAUUGCACAAUGGGCGCAAGCCUGAUGCAGCCAUGCCGCGUGUAUGAAGAAGGCCCUCGGGUUGUAAAGUACUUUCAGCGGGGAGGAAGGCAGUGAGGUUAAUAACCUUACUGAUUGACGUUACCCGCAGAAGAAGCACCGGCUAACUCCGUGCCAGCAGCCGCGGUAAUACGGAGGGUGCAAGCGUUAAUCGGAAUUACUGGGCGUAAAGCGCACGCAGGCGGUCUGUUAAGUCAGAUGUGAAAUCCCCGGGCUUAACCUGGGAACUGCAUUUGAAACUGGCAGGCUUGAGUCUCGUAGAGGGGGGUAGAAUUCCAGGUGUAGC